GACUGUGCAAGCCCUGUCCACAGGGCUGGGAGCAGUUUUCUUCCAAGUGUUACUACUUCUCCACCGAGGGGAAGAGCUGGAAGAACAGUCACAGUGACUGCUUAAGACGGGGAGCUGACCUGGUGAUUAUAGAGAGUUACGAGGAGCACGAGUUCAUCAACAAAUACAUACAAGAUUUGAACUGGAUUGGACUGAGUGACUCAGAAAAUGAGGGCACCUGGCUCUGGGUGGAUGGAACCCCCCUGCAGAAAAACUACUGGAGGAGUGGAGAACCAAAUGAUCAUUACACACUAAGCAGAGUCAAAAACUCAGGUGCAGACUGUGCACUUACUUACCGUGGUGAGAAUGUGUGGGUGGACGCAGGCUGCCAUUUGUCCUUCCGCUUCAUCUGUGAGACUGAUGCUCUGCUCCUUUAAUUGCCUAUGGUGUAACAUUGAUGCCGAAUGGGAAAUCCAUUUUUGUACCAUGACAGUUUUAACCUUUUCCUCAGCUGAAAAUAUCAAAAUAAGCAGAACUGUGCCAGUGUUUGAGUGGUGUGUCAUCAAAGCGCUCAGUGCCAGGAGAGAAAUCCUGUCAUCUUGAUAAUAUAGUUGUUUGCACUCCAUUCCUCUGAAACCUCUGGUUAUGAAUCACAUUUUAAAGAUUAAACUUGGAUAUGAAUUUGUGUAUUUUCAGAUUAACUGAAAUGUUAAUUCAGUGAAAUAAUGUUCAACUAAGCUACUUAAAUGGAAUUGGUUCAUUGAGAAAAAUGCUG